UUGGGUGUGUAAGCGCUGUGAGGCGUUGAGCUAACCAAUACUAAUUGCCCGUGAGGCUUGACCAU
rnacentral:rRNA from 2 species